rnacentral:rRNA from 1 species
AGCGAACGCUGGCGGCAGGCCUAACACAUGCAAGUCGAACGGAUCCUUCGGGAUUAGUGGCGGACGGGUGAGUAACACGUGGGAACGUGCCCUUUGGUUCGGAACAACUCAGGGAAACUUGAGCUAAUACCGGAUGUGCCCUUCGGGGGAAAGAUUUAUCGCCAUUGGAGCGGCCCGCGUCUGAUUAGCUAGUUGGUGAGGUAAAGGCUCACCAGGCGACGAUCAGUAGCUGGUCUGAGAGGAUGAUCAGCCGCAUUGGGACUGAGACACGGCCCAAACUCCUACGGGAGGCAGCAGUGGGGAAUCUUGCGCAAUGGGCGAAAGCCUGACGCAGCCAUGCCGCGUGAAUGAUGAAGGUCUUAGGAUUGUAAAAUUCUUUCACCGGGGACGAUAAUGACGGUACCCGGAGAAGAAGCCCCGGCUAACUUCGUGCCAGCCGCCGCAGUAAGAC